UCACCUCCACAGGCUGCCGGCCCCCAGGCUGGGCUGGGCGAGUAUCUCUUCGAAGCGCUCAGCCUCAAGCACAACUAGGAGC
rnacentral:pre_miRNA from 1 species